rnacentral:rRNA from 1 species
UACAGAGGGGGCAAGCGUUAUUCGGAAUUAUUGGGCGUAAAGGGCGCGUAGGCGGCCUGACAAGUGGAUGGUGAAAUCCCUCGGCUUAACCGAGGAACUGCCAUCCAGACUGUUUUGGCUUGAGACCGGGAGAGGUGAGUGGAAUUCCCCAGUGUAGCGGUGAAAAUGCGUAGAUAUUUGGGGAGGAACACCAGUGGCGAAGGCGGCUCACUGGACCGGUACUGACGCUGAUGCGCGAAAAGCGUGGGGGGAGCAAAACGGGG